CCCAUUCCAAUGCACACAGGCUUCAAUAGGAAACCACCGCCAGCUUCAGUUGCACCAACAGCAGGAACAGGUACAGCUGAUCAUUCUAAUGUGGUUCGUCUGUUGUCAUCUGCAGGCGCAAAUGGUCUUUCAGGUCUGCUCAUUGGUGGAAGCCACGAUGGUAGUGGCAGGUUCGCUUGAGAAUGAGACAUCGCACUGCAGGAUCAGCUCGAGCGAAAGAAGCUGUCUAAUAAGAAUACUGUCGACAUCCAGAAGGUGAUUUGACACUUGAUAGUGCCAGGUCCGAUGCAAAGAUGCGAACGCUAGGAAAUAUCCACAUUUACAGGGAUUACAAAGAAUCACUGCGUCAGCGCAAUCAGGUUGAUAUCUACCAAUCCAAAGAGCAGCAAAUCGAAACACGUAGCCCUAUUCCAAAAGUAAUAAAGUAUCGGUAAAACUCUUAAAUAGUUUUAUUCGAAUCGAACUAAUAAGAUGUACGAAUUUUGUAGUAAACUGGAGUUUCUGAAGUGCUGAAAUUCAUGAGCUUAACUCGAUCUAUUGUUCGUCCAGCUGAAUAGAUUAUUUAAUGAGUUGUUUUCUUAAUAAUUUUUUAGGAAAAAGAUGUAACUUGUCGUUUUGCCAGCAUUUGUGUCAGAGAACAACUGAUAGCACCGAUUCCAUAAUAAUGAUCAACACUGGACAUCCUAAUGUAUUUGUGUUAGGUUUUCUAUAUUUUAGUCUACAAUCUACAAAUAUGUGGGUUAUAUCACGGCCACUUUCUUCUUAGUUCCAAUCACGUCGAUCUGCAAUCCCAAUGCAGCUUUGUACAUUUUUCCCCGACUUAAAUCCAAAAAACUUUCCGCAAGGUCUCCAUCAAGAAAUCCCCCGCAACGUGCCAACCCACAAUCCAAUCGACGAAAAAAACAUCGACCUAACAACGACCGUAACGCUGUUACCUAUUCACGAUGACGACGAUGAGGUAUCGACAUCUGGAUACGGCAUUAGUUUGUAUGAGGCAAACUAUUCUCUAUCAUAUUAGUCGGCCCAAAUCAGUUUAUAAUUGCCAAAAUUGGUAUGAAAUUUUUUUCUUGGCAUAAUUUUUCCUACUUAAAGUACGUUGUCAUGACCCUAAUUUGAAUUAUUUUCUAUAGACGUUCAGCUAUUCUCAAAAAAACUUGUCAUUAUAAUAUAAAAUUAUCUCAAAACAUAUUUUUUAUGACGUUUUUUCACCACUUGCAGGCAAUGGUGAUUUUCACUUACAUAGAGUACUAAUUUGAUUAAGGAAAAAUCAUGUUCAUUCAUAAUUUUCAUUUUAAAAGUGUAUUCAUUCGUUCUGCAAAUCCAUACUGUCAUGCCUAUUCCCCAAUAUCGUCAACGCGGAUAGUUCGUUAGUCGAAAAUACUGAAUAAUUAAACAAACCAAAUGGCAUCACUGGUGGUUCUUUUUUUCACUCCGCUAAACUGUCAUCUCAAACAAAAACAAAUGGAUCAUACAACUGCUAUGAAUACAUUCGACUCGUUUGAUUCCAUCAAUCGGUAAGUGAGAAAGAUGAUUUCUCCCAUCACCACAGUGCGGAUUUCCACUUCUAUCACAGCAGCCAACAACAUCCGUUUUCCUGCAGCAGUAACCUCCAACCCCUGUUGGCAAUGCCGGGGGACAGCAUCAACAGCAGCAGCAGCAGAAUUUGACCAUGGUAUGGUUUGCGAAGAACUUUCCCCAUUAGAGGUUCCGUGCUUCGCGCACAUUCAAAAAUCCUCUUCAGACACGAAAACUCAACGACAAGGAGGUAUUUAUCAACUUGCUCAGCUGAAUUACCACCCCGGAGGAACCCGAAUGCACUGAUUCCGUAGUAUAGUAGAAUGAAAAUAGGCGAGGUUAGCGAACGUAAUCGCAUGAUAUUUUAAUGUUCGCAUUUUUAUCCGGAUCAUACAACUGCUAUGAAUACAUCCGACUCAAUCAAUCGGCGAGUGAGAAAGAUGAUUUCCCUCAUCACCACAUUGCUUAUUUCCACUUCUGUCACACCAGCCAACAGCAUCAGCUUUCCCGCAGCAGUAUCCUUUAAGUCCAGGGUGCUAUUCCGGGGAACAGCAUCAACAGCAACAGCAGCAGGACCUGGCCAUCGACAGUAUUUCGAGCAAUUUUCCCCAUCGGAGAUCCCGUGCUUCACGCACAUUGAAGAAUCCUCCUCAGCCACAUAUCUGUGUCAUCAAGGGCAAGGAGGUAUUCAUCAAUGUACUCAGUCGGAUUUGAAUCGUCAAUCCAGACAACCCGGAUGCACCGAUUCCAUUAUAUACCUUAUGUUUAUUAUACAUGGUUUUUUAUUAUUAUGUUUUCAAUAAAAUGAUUAAAAUCGA